GACGAACGCUGGCGGCGUGCUUAACACAUGCAAGUCGAGCGGUAAGGCCCUUUCGGGGGUACACGAGCGGCGAACGGGUGAGUAACACGUGGGUGACCUGCCCUCAGCUCUGGGAUAAGCCUGGGAAACCGGGUCUAAUACCGGAUAUGACUCCAUGACGCAUGUUGUGGGGUGGAAAGCCUUGUGCGGCUGAGGAUGGGCCCGCGGCCUAUCA
rnacentral:rRNA from 1 species